rnacentral:snRNA from 1 species
GCCUUCGGGCAUUUGGUCAAUUUGAAACAAUACAGAGAAGAUUGUACGUUCCCCCCCGCGCGCACCCCACCAGAGAUCAUCGCUAACAGAUGUUACAGAGCAUGGCCCCUGCACUAAGGAUGACACAUGCAAACAAAGAGAGUAAACAGUUUUUU